rnacentral:rRNA from 1 species
GUGGGGAAUAUUGGACAAUGGGCGAAAGCCUGAUCCAGCCAUGCCGCGUGUGUGAAGAAGGUCUUCGGAUUGUAAAGCACUUUAAGUUGGGAGGAAGGGCAGUAAGUUAAUACCUUGCUGUUUUGACGUUACCGACAGAAUAAGCACCGGCUAACUUCGUGCCAGCAGCCGCGGUAAUACGAAGGGUGCAAGCGUUAAUCGGAAUUACUGGUCGUACAGCGCGCGUAGGUGGUUUUGUAAGUUGGAGGUGAAAUCCCCGGGCUCAACCUGGGAACUGCCUCCAAAACUGCAUGACUAGAGUACGGUAGAGGGUAGUGGAAUUUCCUGUGUAGCGGUGAAAUGCGUAGAUAUAGGAAGGAACACCAGUGGCGAAGGCGACUACCUGGACUGAUACUGACACUGAGGUGCGAAAGCGUGGGGAGCAAACAGGAUUAGAUACCCCGGUAGUCC